AAUUUACUACUAUUACUUCCCACUACCGGGGACGUGUUUUUGCCAUUACUCCUAUCCUUCUUCACACCGUUUUAAACAUUCCAAAUGACGGCGUUUGCUACUACCAAACCAAUACUUGAAACUUUCUUGCAUUUUCUGAGGCGCAACUCCGUAAUCAUUUUCUUUGUGAAGAUUCUACUUCACGAGAAGAUUGCUCUCAUCUUUCCUUUCCUCACCGCCUCGCCCACUUUUUACUUACUAAAGUAAUUCUUCCUCAAGACGGUCACCACACCGUCAUUCAAAAAAUGGAUCUUUUUCUACUUUAUCAUCUAUUU
rnacentral:lncRNA from 1 species